GACGAACGCUGGCGGCGUGCUUAACACAUGCAAGUCGAACGGUGAAGCGCCUUCCUUUUUGGUGGGUGUGGACGAGUGGCGAACGGGUGAGUAACACGUGAGUAACCUGCCCCCUUCUUCUGGAUAACCGCAUGAAAGUGUGGCUAAUACGGGAUAUUCUGGGUCUGUCGCAUGAUGGGUCUGGGAAAGAUAUUGUUUCGGUGGGGGAUGGGCUCGCGGCCUAUCAGCUUGUUGGUGGGGUGAUGGCCUACCAAGGCGGUGACGGGUAGCCGGCCUGAGAGGGUGGACGGUCACACGGGGACUGAGACACGGCCCAGACUCCUACGGGAGGCAGCAGUGGGGAAUAUUGCACAAUGGGCGCAAGCCUGAUGCAGCGACGCCGCGUGAGGGAUGGAGGCCUUCGGGUUGCGAACCUCUUUCGCCAGUGAAGCAGGCCUGCCUCGUUUGUGGGUGGGUUGACGGUAGCUGGAUAAGAAGCGCCGGCUAACUACGUG
rnacentral:rRNA from 1 species